CUGCAGCUCAAGUGGUGGCCGCUAUUAUUGGGCCUAAAACGUCCGUAGCCGGUUUAGUAAAUGCCUGGGUAAAUCGUGUAGCUUAACUAUACGACUUCCGGGUAGACUGCUAGACUUGGGACCGGGAGAGGCUAGAGGUACUCCUGGGGUAGAGGUGAACUUCUGUAAUCCUAGGGGGACCACCAGUGGCGAAGGCGUCUAGCUAGAACGGGUCUGACGGUGAGGGACGAAGCCCUGGGGCGCAAACCGGAUUAGAUACCCGCGUAGUCC
rnacentral:rRNA from 1 species